rnacentral:tRNA from 1 species
CCUUCGAUAGCUCAGUUGGUAGAGCGGUGGACUGUAGUGUACGAGUUUCUACUGUGGACAUCCAUAGGUCGCUGGUUCAAAUCCGGCUCGAAGGA